AGCUGUCAGCAGCCCUAGACAACCCAACCAAUAGUCAGUGAUUCUGAGGGUUGAGAUCCAAAAUGUUUGGAGGAUCAAAGGUUGAGAACAACUGUACUAAGAGAGCUAGUUGCCCUAAGAGAAGUCAGAUAGGAAGGUGGAUGCCUCUUGAACAACAUCUCAUGGUGUUUUGAUUUCAGUGGCAUGUGUGGCCUAUGCGAAAAAUUGGAAAGCAAAGAAUUUGGACUGGAUUGGCAUGUUUUACCUUAACACCACCUGAAGUUUUCCUGAUGCAAAAGCAUGGAGGCUUCUUGAGAAAUCCAGUGCCUAAAUUAGGCAGAAAUCCUCUGCCUAAAAAAGGGGCCUGCAACCUCACAAGGAUGGAGACAUACUGGAUUGCAAAAGAAGUGCCUUUGUUGUAAUGCAAACGGAUGUUAAAUUUCCUGGACUCUGAAAAUCUCCCAGUUGCCACAUGGCCAGAAAGAGGAGGUGCCAGCCUGCAAGAUAUGCUCCUCCAUACCAUCUUAACUAAGAAGAGAAACAGCAAAAUGCAGGCCUAUGACUAACAUCUUCAAUUUUUUUCUCUUGUUUACUUUGUAAAACCUUGCCUAAUAAAAACACCAGUGAAGCUCUGAAAGCUUGCAACAUGGAUAUUGUGCGUUUUGGUUGAUCA